CUGAAAGUAAAAUGUAAAAACUAGGCAAGUCAACAAAAUUUACAAAAAUCAGUGAGAGGCAACAGAUUAUUCCUAAAGCUACACACAAAGAAAUUUUACAAGACUAAUGCAGCAUAUAGGGCAAGCUAUAAAAAUGGUGGUUGAAAACAACAAAUUACAGUAACAAUCACAUAUUCGCAACUAAGUAGUGGAAAAUGCUCCAUCUCUGUUAUUUCUUAAUCUUCCAUUCUUUUCCUCAUUUAUUUUAGAAACUUUUCCCCAAUCCUCAACUUGAAGGUAUAGUGUUGUUAACCUGGCACCUCAAUAUUAGGUACACUUCAAUUUUUCUUGUGAUACUUUCCUUGGAAUGUUAUGGGUGGCCUUAGCAUUAGAAAUGCCUUACAAUUGAAUAUCAUAGAUGAAAGGAAGACAUCCAUCCCGUAUAUGAGAGGCAUUAGGAUAGUUUGCAUGUGUUAACAUCCUCUUAAGACAAACAUCUUUCUGCAGCACAUUAAUCAAUUGUAAUUUUUCACAUUCCAAACAUUCUCAAUUUGAGUUUCUAUAUGACUAACUCCGAAAAACGAAAAACUUGUAAGAGCUCCACACUCAAGUAAAUGAAAGAAAUAACAUAUUUAAGUCUCCGUUCAUGUUUCAUUUAUUCCCGUUUCACUCUUGAAGCUUAGCUUUGCACCUACAAGUGGAAGCCUUUUGGAUAUUUCUAUAUGUACACACUACACCUAUGAUUACCAGGACACCUUCAUUCUUUAUGAUAUACACACUCAUUAGAAAAAUAAACAAUUUCCUUGGAAAGUCUACCUGAAAUAGAAGUUAGAUCGCGUGACCACAAACAAGGACAAUAGCAUGAAGAGGAAAUGCAGAAGCAAGAAAAUUUAUACAAUUAUAAACCAACAAAUGAUGUUUCUCCCUAAUAAACUGGAACCAAUUUAUAACGAAAACAUACCUU
rnacentral:lncRNA from 1 species